UACGUAGGGUGCGAGCGUUAAUCGGAAUUACUGGGCGUAAAGCGUGCGCAGGCGGUUCGUUAAGUCAGAUGUGAAAGCCCCGGGCUCAACCUGGGAAUUGCAUUGGAAACUAGCGGGCUGGAGUGUGGCAGAGGGGGGUGGAAUUCCACGUGUAGCAGUGAAAUGCGUAGAGAUGUGGAGGAACACCGAUGGCGAAGGCAGCCCCCUGGGCUAACACUGACGCUCAUGCACGAAAGCGUGGGGAGCAAAAGGG
rnacentral:rRNA from 1 species